GCUUGGCAGGGGGUUGGACUCGAUGGCCCUUGUGGUCUCUUCCAACUCUAUGAUUCUAUGAAAAAAAUCGUAAUAAAAAUAUGACUUAGAAUAAGCAGCUUAUACAAAAUAAAGUAAUAUAAUAGCACACACAAAAUAUCAUAGAACUAUAGAGUUGGGAGGGACCCUGAGGAUCAUCUAGUCCAACCCCCUGCAAUGGC